UUUUUUCCUAAGCAAGACUUCCUUGCAAUAAGCUUCCCUAAUUAAUCUUAUUGUGUUUUCAGUGAUGGGAAUGUAAGUGAAGGAUUUCUCCCUAUUAUCUCUUCUCGGAGGUGCAGAGAAAACGUUACUUGCUAAUUCCAUUUUACACUUCAAAUUUUUUCCCUCCAACAGUAUUGCUUUGAGAUGCCACACUGAAAUGCAGAGGAUGCAUCCAGCCACCAAGACACAGCUGUUCCCAGAUACGUCCGGACAACGCAUGCAUGGUGCGUUUACCUACCGAGCAGAGCCUAAUGCUCAGCCAUACGCAGAGAAAUGCUUUCCAGAGAUUCCUGCUGAAUUAGGAUACUGAGGCAGAUCUGAAAUUGCCGUGCACAGGCAGGAGAUGUCACCGCUGAAGUACUCCUGAAGUUAUCCACUAGGAACAGAUGACUGGGAGCUGACAUCGGGCCGGAAUGUAAUCAUAGAAGUUAACGCAGCUCUUCAGAUUGUUCUUCUUUCUACGUGAUGCUGAACUUCUAGUAACUUAGUCAUCAUCGGUAGCUAUCUCAAGCCUAAGAGGAAGUGGUUGAGAUGAGAUAUUCUUUCUCUACUGAUCUCAAAAGAAAAGACCAUGAAUAAUUUUACAAGCUUCUAAUAGUUUGG
rnacentral:lncRNA from 1 species